rnacentral:rRNA from 1 species
UAGAACGUUGAAGAGAGGAGCUUGCUCUUCUUGGAAGAGUUGCGAACGGGUGAGUAACGCGUAGGUAACCUGCCUUGUAGCGGGGGAUAACUAUUGGAAACGAUAGCUAAUACCGCAUAACAAUGGGUGACCCAUGUCAUUCAUUUGAAAGGGGCAACUGCUCCACUACAAGAUGGACCUGCGUUGUAUUAGCUAGUAGGUGAGGUAACGGCUCACCUAGGCGACGAUACAUAGCCGACCUGAGAGGGUGACCGGCCACACUGGGACUGAGACACGGCCCAGACUCCUACGGGAGGCAGCAGUAGGGAAUCUUCGGCAAUGGGGGCAACCCUGACCGAGCAACGCCGCGUGAGUGAAGAAGGUUUUCGGAUCGUAAAGCUCUGUUGUAAGUCAAGAACGAGUGUGAGAGUGGAAAGUUCACACUGUGACGGUAGCUUACCAGAAAGGGACGGCUAACUACGUGCCAGCAGCCGCGGUAAUACGUAGGUCCCGAGCGUUGUCCGGAUUUAUUGGGCGUAAAGCGAGCGCAGGCGGUUUGAUAAGUCUGAAGUUAAAGGCUGUGGCUCAACCAUAGUUCGCUUUGGAAACUGUCAAACUUGAGUGCAGAAGGGGAGAGUGGAAUUCCAUGUGUAGCGGUGAAAUGCGUAGAUAUAUGGAGGAACACCGGUGGCGAAAGCGGCUCUCUGGUCUGUAACUGACGCUGAGGCUCGAAAGCGUGGGGAGCGAACAGGAUUAGAUACCCUGGUAGUCCACGCCGUAAACGAUGAGUGCUAGGUGUUGGGUCCUUUCCGGGAUUCAGUGCCGCAG